GACGAACGCUGGCGGCGUGCUUAACACAUGCAAGUCGAACGGUAAGGCCCUUCGGGGUACACGAGUGGCGAACGGGUGAGUAACACGUGGGUGAUCUGCCCUGCACUUCGGGAUAAGCCUGGGAAACUGGGUCUAAUACCGGAUAGGACUCCGGACUGCAUGGUCUGGGGUGGAAAGCUUUUGCGGUGUGGGAUGGGCCCGCGGCCUAUCAGCUUGUUGGUGGGGUGAUGGCCUACCAAGGCGACGACGGGUAGCCGGCCUGAGAGGGUGACCGGCCACAAUGGGACGGAGAUACGGGCCAGCCGCCUGCGGGAGGCAGCAGUGGGGAAUAUUGCACAAUGGGCGCAAGCCUGAUGCAGCGACGCCGCGUGAGGGAUGACGGCCUUCGGGUUGUAAACCUCUUUCAGCAUCGACGAAGCGAAAGUGACGGUAGGUGCAGAAGAAGGACCGGUCAACUACGUGCCAGCAGCCGCCGUAA
rnacentral:rRNA from 1 species